rnacentral:lncRNA from 1 species
UCUAUUGAAGAUGAACACUCAUUGAGAGACCAAACCAUAAAACAACUGAAAAGUUUGAGCAUCUUGAUUUCUAAUCCGUAAAGGGAUUUAUAAGAGGUAUUUCUUCAGAACAUAAGCUAUAUACUUAAGAUUACAAACUUGGUUUAGUUAUAUGUUAACAAUGGUGAUAAUUCUUCUCCAAAAAUUGGAAAAUGAGAAAAGGUCAGUGGAAAUUACAUCCAUUAAAUUGGAAAAUGAGAAAAGGUCAGUGGAAAUUACAUCCAUUAAGGGCCUGUUUGGCGGGAAUGGAUUUAUUCGUUAUGCUGUCCUCCUACAUAGCUUACCAAGCAUGCGUGUAUCAAACAAAGUCAAAGAGUGUACACCAUGAUUCCUCAUCAAAUUCAAGAUUCACACAAGCAAAAUGCACCAAGAUCAUUUCUAAGACAUAAUGUCCGUAUGCAAUAACAAACACAAACUUUUUCUUCUUUAAUUAUAUCUGUUAUUGUCUAGUCGAGCAUCAAAAAUACGUUUAAGUACAUAAAAUCCCACCAAGACUAACCUUG